UGGAUGCUGUCUUCUCGCUCUUGCUGAGCUGCACUGCGGCGACCGGGCCGGGCUGAGUCGCAGGGUCAGCAUCACGCGGGGCGCAGGAUGACCCAAGAGCGGGGAGAGCUCGCUUGGGUCUCACCAGGCAUUGCAUUCCGAUCGCCGGGUGUAGUACCGUCCGGUUGUACGGGGUGUGGGCGGAGCUGGCUGUAGGCCAGUAGGUGAGCGACCUUCCGAGGCAAGCAGGAGGAACGAGCACUGGCCUCCUGGAGAGGGGACGGUCGGCACCCCCGAGAGCGCUCUCCGUUCCGCAUAGGGCUCUAGCUCUGGGCGCGCGGAGUAGCUUUGGAGUCGGAAGACCGGGAAUGAUGGUUGUGGUGAGGUGACAGCUCUGAGCUUUCCUGGAAAUGCCUGACUCUGUGGCUUUGCUGUGUAAGCUGCAUCCCCGUGGAAGUAUCGCGAACCAAGUGUGAUUAAGUUGAGCUGCAUCAAAAAGUAAAACCUAGCCCUUGAAAGGCAGAGACUAAGAGGCCAAGAACUUGAAGGCUCUGCCGAGGAGCAGCUGCUUCUGGGGACAGAUACUACCCUGAGGAUCUGAAUUGGGGUUGUGGGACACACUCUCCUGCUGCCUGGCACUGGCAUGUUAGGAAUGACCCACAUGGGAGUCAGUCUUUCCUAAGAGCCACAAAAGUGCCUCCAAACCAAGACUCAAGCCUGGCUGACCACGGUGCCUCUUGAGACCCCUUGUGAAAAAUAGCCUUGUGCCUGCAGCCUGGAUGCCCUGACCCCCACAUCACCACCACCAAAGCCAGAGUCCACUCCAAAGUCCCGUGAUUCUGGGGCAGCCGGUCUGGCCCUGCCUUCCCCAUUCGGGGGGCUCCAUGUUCCUGUGCCUGUUUCUACCCAGAACAGAGGAGGCGUGCAGA